CACAGAGAUCUUACAAGAUGUUACAAGACCACUAUAAAUAUGUUUACUAUACUGUGACAACACAGAUACUGUCACAUGCUGGUCACUGAGGUUCCUUCAAAGAAAUCACAUCCCAUUUAAAUCAGGGGGAAAUCUGAGCAGAUGACUUGAAUUGCAGUAGAUGUUUCAGAAUUUCAGAUGGAAAGAAAUAGUCUCUCUUCCGCUGUGUCCUGUCGUCAUGAGGGUGUCAGCAGAGGCUGCUGUGUCCCAGCUCAUCAUCCAGCAGCACUCCAUCAGAUAACGGGAAACUCGACGCCAUAUCGGGAGAUUUUAUUCCAUUUCGGAGAGCGCCUCGCAGUCUGCAAAGACUGCUGCAGAUCCCGUGGGGUUCGAGUACACGCUCUGAACGCUCCAUCUCACACACACUGGCCGUGACCCCCGCGGACAGACGCUCCCUGCGCGCGCUGCGUUGAUGCAGGUUCAUGACGUCACGGGCAGGUGAAAGCUCUCAGAGCUCGUCAUUGUCAACAACCGCGUGUUCCCCAGAGACACGUCACAUUCACAGAGGUCAAACACACUUCAUGCUGCUUUAUUUUAUUCAUACAUACUUGAUAGUCCGCCUUAGAAUAUAUUGCUUCAUAUGUUAUUAAGGCUGUAAUAAUAAUUUUACAUUAUAUUGGGAUACAAGAAGUUUAAAUUUUGAAUCAGGUAUAGUAAUGCCGUAUCAAAUAUGGUAAGGGCACACAUUUGAAAUUUAAAGAUAUUAUUUAGAAAUAGUAUAUACAAUAUGUAAAACUUUGUAGAUCAUAAUAUCAUACC